GGAGACUCUUUCAGAAACGUCCGUCUUCAGCUGCGGCCUGCCUGCAUGUACAGCAACACCACCAAACUUUGGCACCUGCAGCACCACCUGUUCUGGGACAAACGUUGUCUGCAAUAACGGAUAUUGUGUGUGUGACAUCAUGUACGUCAAACUUGGCAGCAGUUGUGUCCAGGAUUGCGGUGGAUCUGGAUAUGGAUCAAGCAUGACGAUCUUUAACAGCACAUUAGCU